rnacentral:rRNA from 1 species
AACGAACGCUGGCGGCAUGCCUAACACAUGCAAGUCGAACGAGACCUUCGGGUCUAGUGGCGCACGGGUGCGUAACGCGUGGGAACCUGCCCUUAGGUUCGGAAUAACUCCCCGAAAGGGGUGCUAAUACCGGAUAAUGUCUUCGGACCAAAGAUUUAUCGCCUUUGGAUGGGCCCGCGUUGGAUUAGCUAGUUGGUAGGGUAAAAGCCUACCAAGGCGACGAUCCAUAGCUGGUCUGAGAGGAUGAUCAGCCACACUGGGGCUGCGACACGGCCCAGACUCCGACGGGAGGCAGCAGUGGGGAAUAUUGGACGAUGGGCGAAAGCCUGAUCCAGCAAUGCCGCGUGAGUGGUGAAGGCCUUAGGGUUGUAAAGCUCUUUUACCCGGGAUGAUAAUGACAGUACCGGGAGAAUAAGCUCCGGCUAACUCCGUG